rnacentral:rRNA from 1 species
AGAAGGCUCUCGGGUCGUAAAGCUCGUCAAUCGGGGAGAAUAGGAACAGGGCUUAUAAUCCUCAGCUUUGACGGUUCCCCUGCAGGAAGCUCCGCCUAACUCCGUGCCAGCAGCCGCGGUAAGACAUAGGGAGCGAGCGUUUUUCGGAAUUAUUGGGCGUAAAGAGCGCGUAGGCGGGCCGUUAAGUCAGAGGUGAAAUCUCUCGGCUCAACCCGGGACGUGCCUUUGAAACUGUCGGUCUUGAGUGCGGGAGAGGGAAGUGGAAUUCUCGGUGUAGCGGUGAAAUGCGUAGAUAUCUGGAGGAACACCCGUGUCGAAGGCGCCGUUCUGGGCCGACACUGACGCUGAGACGCGAAAGCGUGGGGAGCGAACACGAUUAGAUACCCCGGUAGUCCUCGCCGUAAACGAUGGGCGCUAGGUGUGUGGGGUAUUGACUCCCUCAGUGCCGCAGCUAACGCAUUAAG